UAUCAAUAAGCGGAGGAAAAGAAACCAAACAGGGAUUGCCCUAGUAACGGCGAGUGAAGCGGCAACAGCUCAAAUUUGAAAUCUGGCUCUUUCAGGGUCCGAGUUGUAAUUUGCAGAGGGCGCUUUGGCGUUGGCAGCGGUCCAAGUUCUUUGGAACAGGACGUCACAGAGGGUGAGAAUCCCGUACGUGGUCGCUAGCCUUCGCCGUGUAAAGCCCCUUCGACGAGUCGAGUUGUUUGGGAAUGCAGCUCUAAAUGGGAGGUAAAUUUCUUCUAAAGCUAAAUACUGGCCAGAGACCGAUAGCGCACAAGUAGAGUGAUCGAAAGAUGAAAAGCACUUUGGAAAGAGAGUCAAAUAGCACGUGAAAUUGUUGAAAGGGAAGCGCUUGCAGCCAGACUUGCCUGUAGUUGCUUAUCUGGACUUUUGUCCAGUGCACUCUUCUGCGGGCAGGCCAGCAUCAGUUUGGGCGGUUGGAUAAAGGUCUCUGUCAUGUACCUCCUUUCGGGGAGGCCUUAUAGGGGAGACGACAUGCAACCAGCCCGGACUGAGGUCCGCGCAUCUGCUAGGAUGCUGGCGUAAUGGCUGUAAGCGGCCCGUCUUGAAACACGGACCAAGGAGUCUAACAUCUAUGCGAGUGUUUGGGUGUCAAGCCCAGACGCGUAAUGAAAGUGAACGGAGGUGGGAACCCUUUGGGUGCACCAUCGACCGAUCCUGAUGUCUUCGGAUGGAUUUGAGUAAGAGCAUGGCUGUUGGGACCCGAAAGAUGGUGAACUAUGCUUGAAUAGGGUGAAGCCAGAGGAAACUCUGGUGGAGGCUCGCAGCGGUUCUGACGUGCAAAUCGAUCGUCAAAUUUGGGCAUAGGGGCGAAAGACUAAUCGAACUAUCUAGUAGCUGGUCC
rnacentral:rRNA from 1 species